rnacentral:tRNA from 1 species
UGGGCCUGUAGCUCAGUUGGUCAGAGCGUCCGGCUGAUAACCGGGAGGUCACAAGUUCAAACCUUGUCAGGCCCACCAU